GCACUGCUGAGGAGUGCCACAAUAGGACGAAACGGCUGUUCAGUGC
rnacentral:hammerhead_ribozyme from 1 species